AGUUUGCCGACUACUCGUGACCUGAACAGCAGCUGAAGGAGAGAGAGCACAGAUGGAUGCCAAAUACUGCAUCAUUGUACUCUUGUUACUUGCCGCUUCCCAGCAAGGAGAUUGCUUUGCCUCUGCAAGAGUCAGAGAUUUCACAAAUACAGGUGUAGAGGGUUACUUUGUAAUCGUAACACAUUUCACAGAUACCAAAGUAGUGGGUUGGUAUGCGUGUGGAACAUUUAGAGAACCAACGAAUACCGAUCAAGUGGGUUGGUUCCUGUGUAAAAGAACAGAUUUCCUAAAUCUCAACCCAAAUGACGACUCUAUGUCUUUCGUAACAGUUUUCACAAAUACCAAUGAAGAGGUUUGGCAUGUGAGCGGAAGCUUUACAGAAUUCACAAAUACUAAUGAAGAGAGUUGGUACGUGUGCAAAAAAUUUAAGGGUUUCACAGAUGCCAAUACUAAGGAUUAUUUUAUCUUCGUGAGACGUUACACAAAUACCAAUGGAGGAGUUUGGUUUGUGUGUAAGAGAGAUGAGUUUUCCAAAUAUAAAUGCGGUGGAGCUGGAGCUGGCCACUGGAGAAUUUGAUGAUGCGUUCACCAUUACUGCAGUGGUCUCUCUCGCUUCUGGUGUGGAUAUUCAUCAGUAUUAAGGUCUGGAAUAUGCAGUCACUAUUGGAAUCGAAAUGUAUACCGGCAACACAGCAAGAAUUAUAUCAGGAAGCAGUGAAGCUGCGGACAAAACUACGUUGACUAUAUCACACUCGAAUGUAAAAAUGGUGGAAGCAUCAGUAUUUACGACCACUAGUGCCACAUGUGUUUUACUCCUGUGUUAACUGAUUCCAAACACUAUGACGUUCACAUUAAAUAUAAUUAUGUUCAUUUAAAUACAUUAUAAUUAAUUUUAAAGUGUUUUUUUACAAUCUGUAUUGUGAAGGCAGUGGAGUGUAAGUGGAGGGAAGUGUAGUGUCUGUAUCUGUAAGUGGAAGAUUUGUGUUUUAUGUCUAUGAACAUCAACUAAAGUCUAGAAUUUUGAGAAACAUCAGAUAGAAAUUUUAAAUUUGUAAAGUGGAAUGGUCUCUAAGGCCAUCUGUUGGGUGUGAACAUUAUCUUAAUACUUUAUUUUGAGUAUUUUAUUUUUUCUGUGUGCUUUAUUUGCCAUCAUUUUGCACAAUAUCACAUACAUCCGAAUUAAACAAAUUGUAGCUGGUUGGGUUUUUCAAUGACAUCGUAAUUAAGUUGUGAGCAUCAAAAGGUAAAUGAAAAACUCUCUUACUAAAAAGGCUGAAAAUAAGACAGUUGCUUAAUGUCUGAAGGAAAUCGAUUUAUUUUUAUUUUAUUUGUACUCUCAUUUUAUGUCAGUGUUCUAGAGAUAUACAAACUGGAAAGCUCAACCGCAGUAAUGAUAGAAAUUGUGCUUCCCAGCCACUAGUAACUCUGUUAAUAACAUUUACAUAAUUUUUAGAAUGACAAUGUAGAGUACUAUAUUUUUUACAUAAUGUAAGUUCUUUAAAAAGGACACAAAUAAAUCUUCCAUUAUUUUCAA